rnacentral:lncRNA from 1 species
GGAGAGUGGGAGUAUCUGGAAGAGCUUCCCUUUGUGUAGAACUUUGAACAAUGACAAAGCAUCUUCACAUCUUCUAUUUCAUUUUCUUCUCAUAACAUUCCUGCUAGGCUCUACCUGGCCCAGAGUCCUGGUUUGCUCUUGCCAGCUGCCCUCACCAUGCCUUGGCCACAGCUCUAGCCAAGACCCAUGGCAGCCGGAGCCCUGUGAUCUGCGAAUAGACCUCUCAGACACCAUCUGCAUCUCAGGAGACCUGCUGGCCCUGCCUCUCUGCUGCUGAGUCCGGACCACCUGCUGGCACUCCCCAAAACUCCUUCCCAGACCUCUGCCAAGAAGCUCUUGGCCUGAAUCCUCAACUGAGAUUAAGGUAUCCCUUGGACAUGGCAAUUUAUGUGCUUGGCUGGAAACAGCACUGUCUGCCACCUCCCAGCACUAGCUCCU